rnacentral:miRNA from 1 species
GACGUCAAUAUUCGACGUCAUAAACACGAUCAACUUUGGUGUUUAUGACGUCGAUAUUCGACGUCAUAAACACGAACAACUUUGGUGUUUAUGACGUCGAUAUUCGACGUCAUAAACACGAUCAACUUUGGUGUUUAUGACGUCGAUAUUCGACCUCAUAAACACGAUCAACUUUGGUGUUUAUGACGUCGAUAUUCGACGUCAUAAACACGAUCAACUUUGGUGUUUAUGACGUCGAUAUUCGAGGUC